GCCAAGGGUGAGGGGGUGGUGGUGAAAACUUGGUGGCUAGGGUUUUUUUGUCUUUGAAAAUGUUUAGUUUGUUGGGCUAGGUGGGCUUUAGGUUUUUAUUAUUUGGGUCAUUUGAUGUGGAAGUUGGGCCUGCUGUUUUUGGGGUGGGUAUUUGGUUGUAUUUGGGCCAAAAUUGGCCUACAACAGCUGCCCCUCUUUGCUCAUUAUCAUGUAACGGGAAUAGAGAAAAGACAUAAUGAAAGGCCAAUUUUGCCCGGUUUUGCCAAUUGUUGACUUCUUUGGCGCUUCUCUUCUUCAGGGCUGUAAGAUCCGUCGUGUUUUGCUCUUCUGCAACUUCAGAGAGAUGAGAUCUGAUAUCUUCAAUAUGUUCCACUACAACUUCAGGGAAGUGAGGUUUGUGGUCUUUUCUUCUGCAACUUCAGAAAGGCAAGAUCUUAUAUCCUCGAUCAGCUCCACUGCAACUUCAGAAAGACAAAAUCUGGCGUCUUCAACCAGCUUCAAUCUUUAUUCUCUACUCGGCAUGUGAUCUUGAGCUCAACUCAUUUCUCGCAGUAUGAAUUGAUUCUUUAGAAACAGACAUUAAAACAGAAAUUGAAAAUAGCUCAGCACAUGAGCUAAGGCUCAACUCACUUCUCGCAAUGUGAGUUGAUCUUUUUGAAA